GUCCCCGUAGCAUAAUUGGAUAAUGCAAUCCCCUCCUAAGGGAUAGAUUGGCGGUUCGACUCCGUCCGGGGACGCCA
rnacentral:tRNA from 1 species